rnacentral:rRNA from 1 species
GCCAGACUCCUACGGGAGGCAGCAGUGGGGGAUAUUGCACAAUGGGGGGAACCCUGAUGCAGCGACGCCGCGUGGGUGAAGGAGCGUUUCGGCGCGUAAAGCCCUAUCGGCAGGGAAGAAGGAGGACGGUACCUGACUAAGAAGCCCCGGCUAACUACGUGCCAGCAGCCGCGGUAAUACGUAGGGGGCAGGCGUUAUCCGGAUUUACUGGGUGUAAAGGGGGCGCAGACGGCAGCGCAAGCCAGGAGUGAAAGCCCGGGGCCCAACCCCGGGACUGCUCUUGGAACUGCGCGGCUGGAGUGCAGGAGGGGCAGGCGGAAUUCCUGGUGUAGCGGUGAAAUGCGUAGAUAUCAGGAGGAACACCGGUGGCGAAGGCGGCCUGCUGGACUGCGACUGACGUUGAGGCCCGAAAGCGUGGGGAGCAAACAGGAUUAGAUACCCCUGUACU